CCAGAAGAGGGCAAGGGAAGAACAAACCCUAAACAACACAAAUCAAUCAAAUUGAAAGGGGAUUUGAGGACUAAAUGUAUGCAUGAACCAAGAAUGUUGGUCCCUUAAGUGUUUCUAACAUCAAGCUCGAAGAAAGAAGAAGGAGCAAGUCACUCGAAAUCACAAGCAACUCAAGAUCGCGGUAAAUCUCAUGCUUGAUUGCGGCGCAUUCGGAGCGAACACACAAUUGUCGACCUUUACACGCUUCCGGUUCAUGUUGUUGAUCAUGAAUGGGUCAAAAACUUCGUUUUGUCAUAUGAUGUUAAAUUGUGUCUAGUAUGUUAGUAAGUAGCUAGAACUUCUAAAUCUUUUGGUAUAUUUUGUACAAAAUUGUUCAUGGUGAACCUUAUGGUCACAACCUUGUGGUUUUGAAAAGUGUCGUAGAAUAUAAUUAAAAUGAU